rnacentral:rRNA from 1 species
CAGGAUGAACGCUAGCUACAGGCUUAACACAUGCAAGUCGAGGGGCAUCGGGAGUUAGCUUGCUAACGUUGCCGGCGACCGGCGCACGGGUGAGUAACGCGUAUCCAACCUUCCCUAUAGUAGAGGAUAGCCCGGAGAAAUUCGGAUUAAUACUCUAUGUUCUUCCAUGCGGACAUCUAAUUGGAAGCAAAGGUUCACCGCUAUAGGAUGGGGAUGCGUCUGAUUAGGUUGUUGGCGGGGUAACGGCCCACCAAGCCUACGAUCAGUAGGGGUUCUGAGAGGAAGGUCCCCCACAUUGGAACUGAGACACGGUCCAAACUCCUACGGGAGGCAGCAGUGAGGAAUAUUGGUCAAUGGGCGCGAGCCUGAACCAGCCAAGUAGCCGUGCAGGAUGACGGCCCUAUGGGUUGUAAACUGCUUUUAUACGGGGAUAAAGUGUACCACGUGUGGUGUUUUGUAGGUACCGUAUGAAUAAGGACCGGCUAAUUCCGUGCCAGCAGCCGC